GGGAGAGAGGAGAGUACAAAAAGAGCAGAAGUCUUUCUUGACCAAGAGAGAAUGCAAAAUUCCUCUUCUUGAUUGUCGUUGAUCCCAACAUCUAGCUCCUUUUAUUUUCUCUGAUUCUCGUAGAUUUGAAAUUCGGUUGAUUGCUUGUCGAAGAAGAUGUGGGCGGCUUCUUGCCUUGCGUCUUGCUGUGCAGCCUGCGCUUGUGAUGCGUGCCGCACGGUGGUUUCAGGGAUAAGCAGGCGAUCCGCUAGGAUUGCAUACUGUGGUCUCUUUGCUCUGUCUCUGAUUGUUUCAUGGAUUCUCCGUGAGGUCGCUGCUCCUCUCAUGGAGAAGCUACCCUGGAUCAAUCACUUUCAUAAGACACCCGAUAGGGAAUGGUUUGAAACUGAUGCAGUGCUGCGUGUUAGCUUGGGAAAUUUUCUGUUCUUCACUAUUCUAGCUGUUCUGAUGGUUGGUGUUAAAAAUCAGAAGGAUCCUCGUGACAGUUUGCACCAUGGUGGAUGGAUGAUGAAGGUUAUUUGUUGGUGCAUUUUGGUAAUCUUUAUGUUUUUCCUUCCAAAUGAGAUCGUCAGCUUUUAUGAAUCAAUAUCCAAAUUUGGCUCAGGAUUGUUUCUUCUUGUUCAAGUUGUACUUUUGUUGGAUUUUGUUCAUGGAUGGAAUGACAAAUGGGUUGGAUAUGACGAACAAUUCUGGUAUAUUGCUCUGUUUGUUGUCUCACUUGUCUGUUAUUUGGCAACAUUUGUCUUCUCGGGAUUUCUUUUCCAUUGGUUCUCACCAUCUGGACAGGACUGUGGGUUAAACAUCUUCUUUAUUGUUAUGACCUUGAUUUUCGUGUUUGUUUUUGCUAUUGUCGCCCUCCACCCUGCUGUAAGUUUAUACUUUCGUAUUCCAGUAUAUUUAAUAAAUAUGAUCGUUAAUCAUUUUGUAUACCUCUUAAACAUUUCCAUGAAAGAAGAAACUUCAUUGUAGGAUACACUCAAUGCCACCAUGGAAUUGUAUCUAUAUGUUGUUUUGUGAUAUGUUUUGAUUAGUGUAUGUUUAGUGUCAACGAGGUUGAUGCAAAUCAGAGCUGUUCUGUUGGAGAAUAGGAAAAUUUUCAGAAAAUAUCAAACACUUUCUGCUUUCAUGGAAACAAUUGCCAAGGAUUACAAUUGGUUAUGCAUCAACAUUUCCAUUGUUAAGUUAACCUGUGAUUAUAUGUGUCAGAAAGAUUAUCUCAUGCAUAUAUCCUUAUUUGCAUAUUUGGCAAAUUUGAAUUUAUUGUUGUUAAUAGCACUAAUUUUUUCAUUGAAUUUAUUGUUGUUUACAUAGGGAACUUAAGUGCACCACUGUACCCUUUGCUCAUUCUUGUUAUGAGGAAUGCUAUGAUUUCUAAGUUUGUGCUUUUUUUUUCCCGUUCUAUUUGUACCCAAAACAAAGUGCUUAGCUGUGCCUUUUUUCAAUUCUUGGUAUGAGAAUUUGUCAUUUGCCAUUUGUAAUCUCAUGGACCAUCUUUUUGGUGGAAAACAGGUAAGUGGUAGCAUUUUGCCAGCUUCAGUUAUAUCCUUUUACUGCAUUUACCUGUGCUACAGUGGACUUGCCAGUGAACCAAGGGAAUAUGAAUGCAAUGGUCUUCACAAACAUUCAAAAGCUGUUUCCACUGGUACCCUCACCAUCGGCCUUUUUACAACUGUUCUAUCAGUUGUCUAUUCUGCUGUACGUGCUGGGUCCUCCACAACUCUUCUCUCCCCACCAAGCUCACCCCGUGCAGGUAACAUUGGAAAUUUGAUUGGACAAAAUCUUUUGUUGCCUGAACUAUCUGUGCUUUGUCUUAAAUUUCUGCCAACAAGAUGAGAAAAUGGAACAAUACAGUUUUCUAUACUUGUUUGUGAGAGGAAACAGAUACUUACCACUAACACCCUGUUUGAAUUGAGUGCAGUGUGGUUUAUAUCAUAUGAUACGGUUUUUCUUGUUAAUAUAUUUGAAAAGAUGGUAUGAUAUUGUUAGAAAUCUAGGAGCCCAAAGCGCCUAAGGAGAAUUUUUUUUGAUAGGCCUUAUGAAAGUAUACACUCAUGGGCUCAAUACUACAUCUAACUCAAAACCUUAAGGUAAUGGGUUUAUAGGUCGUUCCCACUUAUAUGUCACUUACUCAUCCCAUCUUUUUUCGAUGUGAGAAUUCUACAUUUGCAUAUUCCCAAUAAUCUCUCCCUCAAGUGUGAAUUUCUUCUACAUUUGGCUUAUUGGGCCUAUUUCCCCUCAAACGAAAGUCUUUUUUUAUUAACUCAAUUAUUACGAUGUCACUAAAAGGCCUAAUUACUCCACUAAACCCACUCGAGCAUGUACCUCUAAGAGCCAUGCCAGAGCCAUCACGUGUACUAAGAGUCACUACUCCAUCGGUUUGUUCUUCUCCAAAAAAGUACCUUCCUGCUCCAUUAGGUCUACCAGGAGUCUCCCGACUCUUCCAAUCCACGUGUCAGAGUAUCAUGGGAAUCAUCGACAAACGUUUUCAUACUCGUCCUUACCAAAUCAUAGGCUCUUAUACGACUUGUUGUGCACUGCGGAAGCGUUUAAACUAUAAAAAAAUAAAACAAACACAUAAAAUAACAAUAUUACGUGAUUCACUUUCUCAAUAUAGGACUACAUUUAGGGCAUGUCAUCUUUCACUAUCAAUAAUAAUAAAUCAUCAAU
rnacentral:misc_RNA from 1 species